ACUAUGUCUGAAGCAACAGCUAAUGCAUGGACUUAUGCUGUUCAUGUUCUGUUGAAAUUAUUAAAAAUUGAAAGGUGCCUAGUACCUAUUUUUAGGCCAUUGUUUUUUUAAUUGAAGUGAAUUGAAAAGCAAAAAGUUCCAGGUUUUCAUGGAAUUUUUGCAUUGUUUGUUUGUUUUGCUUUAUUUAUAUCAAUUACUGGAAAUGUUUAUUGAGAUAGUGAAUCAGUCUGGUUUUUUCUGUCUUAACUUAAAAUAUUUGUCCAAGUCUAUAUCAGAUCAUAAAGUACUGUAUCGAGAAAAUGUUGAUUUGGAUAACUUGAGUAUGACAGGCUUAAACAGAGCAUAUACCUCUUGUGUUCUGCAGUUGUCAUUUGAGUGUAAGAACUUAUCAAAAGAAAGCACAUCAUCCAAAAGGCAACUGAUUACUGGCAGCAAUAAAACUGGCAUGGUUGAUAACCAUGGGAAUGUAGGGUCUCCUACAGAGGAAGCUCUUUUAUAUUGCUUUUCCUUUACCAUUUUUAUAUAAGAAUUUUGCAGUUUAUUGGACAAGUGCAAAACACAGUGGAUUUGUGUGUGUGUGUAUUUUGAUUGCAGUAUCAUCUUCAUGAAUUUUGGUUUCUUUUGCUGAUUCUGUUUUGAUGUACAGUAAACAAUUCUGUACUGUUGCUAGUUCAUCCUUCUGUGGUAUUUGAUGCCUAAUGUAUGUAGCUUCUCUCUUAUCUUGGAGAUUGAAAUACUGACAAUUUUUUGGUUUUGCUAUUCCUCUUCCUGAGAGGCACUUCUCACUCCCCAGUCAGACUAAAGUAUGAACUGCCUUACUGACUCUUCAUUUUUCAGCUGCAGGCCAGAUUUUGCUAUGUUACACACAACAGACUCUCUUUCCCAGGGACUGCAGAAGGCUUUUGAAUUGAGUUUUGUGACAGGCUUUAACAAAAUUGUCUUUGUUAGAAGUCAAAGUGCAAGGCUAGCAUGUAAAGAUCUUGAUUCAGUGAACUGUGUUCCAAUUUAAACACCCAUUUAAUGAACUGGAUAGAUCGCAAGUAGACUUUGUAGUGUCUCUUCUAUGUAAGAUGCAGUAAGUGAAGGGCACAGUUUUCAUAAAUGCAGUUAUUAGCAGCUCUAUUUGAAACCCACAAGUAAUGCACAUGCCUAGGGCUUUUGGAAGUCACUCCAGAUGGAAACAGCAUUUCUGGGGUGAUUAUACCCUGAGGGAAGGCUCGCUGUCAUUUUGGGAUCAAUUUUUAGCCAAUGUUCCAUUCUCAGUAUUUACAUGGAGAGUCUGAAUUGCCAGAACUUCAGGUUUCAUAACAAAAAUGUUAACAAGAAGUGAAUAUUUGUUGAAAAGAUUGCAUUGCUGCAGAGAAAUGCCUGUUGCUAUGCUGGUUGGAUGAUGAAAGUAUCCUGCAGAGAGAGUCACUGUGCUAAGAAAACUGACUUCCAUUUUUCCGAGCAAGAAGGAGCCUCAUGCAUCUUUGUGUCUGCUGUGCACCCAUUAAUUUGAACAGUGGAAUGCUACAGUCCCAUUGCUAUGGAGUCAGUGCAGAUGGGAGAGUGCUGUUCACUUGCAUCUUCCCCAGAUGUGUGGUCAGAAAUGCCAGCCAUAGUGUACCUGCGCUGGAAACACAGAGAUCAUGUUAAAAGUCUCUUCUGGAUCUCCCUUAUUUAAGGAGGUCCCUCAGAAGAUGUUCAGGGCUAGAAGUUAAUCCUUGGUGUCAUGUUAAGAGAAGGCAGUGGGAUAUCAGUUCCCAAUGUUGACUUGGAGAAUAAUGUUUUGAUCAUUAAUCUCAUACAGCUUCAAGUUUAUAUUGUGCACUGAAAGAAUAAAUGUCAGGGCAGUCCAUUACUUGAAGUUCAGGUGCAGCAUGGCCACCUUUCUGUGACAGGGUGCCCACUGUGGCUUCCAUGCUCCAAAUAAAAGAUACUGCAUGGCAAAUGCAGAGAAAUGUGCAAAGCUGGAAAGCACAGGCUGGUUUAGUGGAGCCUAUCUAGGAAGUUUGUGGAUUACAUUAUAGCAUUCUUGUUGGCUAUCUAAAACAUGCAGAUACUCCAGCUGUGCUAACACAUUACCUGGCUUCUAAAGCAAAGCUAUAAGAUAGGUUUUUAUAUUCAUCAUGUUUACCUCACAGCAAAACAAACAAUAUCACUAGCUGUGUCACAGAAAGAGUAGUCUAUUUUCCAAGAUCGAUUUGUCUGUUCAAUAAAUUGAUUUUUUAUUAGUUCAGUGUUGCUGCAGGGUUUGGUUUUUUUUGUUUCCUUUUUAUGCUUCAAAUGAAUGUGCCAUGUUGAUUUUUUGGGCUUUUUAAAGUAUUUGAAGCAGAUAAGAACUUAUCUUACCUCAGUAGUUCAGUGGACCAUAACUACUUUAUUGGCAAAUACCACCCACAUUCUUCUAUGUAGGAAAAACCAGGAAUGAAGGGCCAAGGAAAGAUGAGAUCAAAUCACAGAGAGCACAACUGAUCAGAAGUUAUUUCCCUUCUCUUGUCUAGUCAAGCUGUACACAAGGAAUUGUUUGUCAAGCACUUGACAGUGUAUACAUGUGGCAUCAGUAGAAUAAUAUUGUAGAAAGAGUUAGACUACAUGGAUCAGCAUAUACUAUGUGGCUAAAACAUCAAUACAACCCUAUUUUCAGAAAGAGUUGGAAAAAUUUCCUGCCUUCACCUUCUGCC